UCCAUUUGAAUUCUGAUUUCUUUCAACUCUUCUAAGAGUGCUUCAUGUGAGGUGCGGAUGGGAGCUAUCUCAGCAGAAAUCACUGAUCUCAUUUCUUCCCUCAUUUGCUGGCACACCAUGGAUGCUAGGGUGUGCAUCUGCUCAUCUGACAAGAGCGUCGAUCCACAAGCUGGAGGAGGAGGCAUGGAAGUGGAUGGUCUAGCCGAGCUGGAAGGUACAUCA
rnacentral:lncRNA from 1 species